rnacentral:rRNA from 1 species
GAUGAACGCUGGCGGCGUGCUUAACACAUGCAAGUCGAACGGAAAGGCCCCCUUGUGGGGUACUCGAGUGGCGAACGGGUGAGUAACACGUGAGUAACCUACCCUUGACUUUGGGAUAACUUCAGGAAACUGGGGCUAAUACCGGAUAGGAGCUCCUGCUGCAUGGUGGGGGUUGGAAAGUUUCGGCGGUUGGGGAUGGACUCGCGGCUUAUCAGCUUGUUGGUGGGGUAGUGGCUCACCAAGGCUUUGACGGGUAGCCGGCCUGAGAGGGUGACCGGCCACAUUGGGACUGAGAUACGGCCCAGACUCCUACGGGAGGCAGCAGUGGGGAAUAUUGCACAAUGGGCGGAAGCCUGAUGCAGCAACGCCGCGUGCGGGAUGACGGCCUUCGGGUUGUAAACCGCUUUCGCCUGUGGCGAAGCGUGAGUGACGGUAAUGGGUAAAGAAGCACCGGCUAACUACGUG